UGUUUUGUUUUGCGGAAAUGGAGGAGUUGGAGAAGGAGCAUAAGAAAGACUCCGAGUGCGACGUGGAGAUGGAAGAAGGCUCCCAGGCCGCAGACUGGGACAGCGAUGAAACGGUGGUAGAGGGGUCCGUGACGGAGAGCGACCCCGAGGAAGAGGCGCUGCCCUGGAGAAGGUUGCUUUUUAAUCAAGACACGUCUCUUAGAUCUGAGUUCAGUCUCCAUCCCAGUAAAGAUCCAACACAGGAUAUAUGCAAUCUUUGCCAAACUGGUGCAUCUUCUCCAGAGAUUCAGGUUAGAUUCAGAUUCAGAGAGGAUCCACAGGAGCAAAUGAGUAUAAAUCAAACGAUGCUUAUUCUUAUUGAGGAUACAGUCUUACAGCAACCUCAGAAUGAAAUGGAACAAAAUGGAGCUUUGUUACACUUGCGGAGUCUUAG
rnacentral:lncRNA from 1 species